rnacentral:rRNA from 1 species
AUUGAACGCUGGCGGCAGGCCUAACACAUGCAAGUCGAACGGUAACAGGAAGAAGCUUGCUUCUUUGCUGACGAGUGGCGGACGGGUGAGUAAUGUCUGGGAAACUGCCUGAUGGAGGGGGAUAACUACUGGAAACGGUAGCUAAUACCGCAUAACGUCGCAAGACCAAAAAGGGGGACCUUCGGGCCUCUUGCCAUCGGAUGUGCCCAGAUGGGAUUAGCUAGUAGGUGGGGUAACGGCUCACCUAGGCGACGAUCCCUAGCUGGUCUGAGAGGAUGACCAGCCACACUGGAACUGAGACACGGUCCAGACUCCUACGGGAGGCAGCAGUGGGGAAUAUUGCACAAUGGGCGCAAGCCUGAUGCAGCCAUGCCGCGUGUAUGAAGAAGGCCUUCAGGUUGUAAAGUACUUUCAGCGGGGAGGAAGGGAGUAAAGUUAAUACCUUUGCUCAUUGACGUUACCCGCAGAAGAAGCACCGGCUAACUCCGUG